GGCCCCAAGCAAUUUGCGUGCCUUGGCCUCCCAAAGUGUUGGGAUUACAGGUAUGAGGUACCACGCCUGUACUCUUCCAUCGUUUAAUUAGGUUAUUUGUCUUUUUAUUAUUGAGUUGUAAGAGUUGUUUAUAUAGUCGAGAUGCCUGACUUUUAUCAGAAAUAUGACUUGCAGAUCUUUUCUCCAAUCCUGUAGGUUGUCUUUUUAUUUUCUUGAUGGUGCGUUUGAUGCACAAAGUAUUUUUUGAUGAAGUCCAGUUUAUUUAUUUUGUCUCUUAUUGCCAUCCUUUUGGUGUUGUAUUUAAGAAAUGGUUAAGAAACUAUUGCCUAGCCCAAGGUAAUGAAUACUCCUGUAUUUUUUUUUUUUUUUUUGGCGAACUUUAUAGUUUUAGCUCUUACAGCUACGACUUUGAUCUCUUUUGGGUUAAGUUUUCUGUGUGAUGUAAGGGGCCCAACUUCAUUCUUUCACCUGUGGAUAUCCAGUUGUUCCAGCAUCUUUGUUGAAAUGAUUAUGCUUUCCUCAUUGAGGAAAUUAACCAUAACUGUGUGGUUUAUUUCUUGACUCUCUUUUCCAUUGAUCUAUGUGUUUAGCAUCAGUGUUUUUAAAACUCCAUAGAUGAUUCCAUGUGCAGUUGAGAUUGAGAACCAUCUGGCCAGAGUGGGGAGUUUGGCUGGUUUGACUGGGAGACAGUACAGUGCAAGGUUUUUGUAAUACUUCACUAUAGGUGUGCAAACCAUCAUUCUUCACUAAGCCAGUGUUCCCUAACCUUGCCCAAUGAGAAUUGCCAGGGAUUCUUGUUAACAAUAGAUUUCUGGCCUCUAUGAACUGGGGAGCACAGGGUCUGGUGGAGGGUAGGAAGGGAUCAGCUUUGUGUGUGGCCUAUGAUUCUGGGUUCUUCCAUAUGGAUAUGGACACUUCGUACCAGUUGCAAAUUCACCAGAACCUUGAGGAACCUGUGUAUUUAAUGAACUGUUCAGGUGUGUCUUAUGAUCAGGCUAGCUGAGGUGAUGCUAGGUCUGCCAGGCAAGACCAUUAGAAGCCUAUGUACCUGCACUGCGGUUCAUCCACAGAAUUGCUCUUCCCAAGGUACUCUUGAAGUGACGCCAUCACCCUGUGAUGAUGCCAUUGUCCUUGUCGUGUUUACUGUGCACACUUCCCCCGCCACCUUAUUUAAUAUUGCUUUCUGCCAAAUUUGUACAAAUACUGUCAUACCCACAGUUCUUUCCCAUCUGUGUUGUUUGCUUUGUUUACAUUACAUAGCACUUUUCAGGAAUAAUUAAUUCAUUUAUCUUGUCUCUAUCUACACCACUAGAUUGAAAUCCUCAUGAGGGAAGGAUUUUUAUUUUUAAUUUUUUUCAUUUGAGUGCAAUAUUCCAAGCACCAACAACAGUGCCUAGCAUACAGUAUGCACUUGAUAAAUAUUAAGUAAACGCAAAGGUAUUAUUAGAGAAUAAUAGAGACUUGUCUAUUUCAGCAUCAGUAGUCAUUGUGCUUGUUUUGUAUGUCAUGGUGCUGUGAAUCAUGGAAAUAGGUGUUUCUGUCUUUGUACAGGCCACUCAAAAAUCAUUGCCUAAGCCAGGUAUGGUGGCACACCUGUAGUCCCAGGUACUCAGGAGGCUGAGGUGGAGGAUUGCUUGAGUCCAGGAGUUUGAGGCCAGCUUGGGCAACAUAGUGAGACCUCGUCUCUUUAAAAAAAAAAGAAAAAGUCAUCACCAUAUUUAUGUCCAUUUUCUGCUAGGUCUGAACUAAAUGACUUAUGUGUCAUGUGCUAACUUCUAACCUUUCCCCCCUCCCCGGUUUAAUUUAUCUUGCUGUAUUGUGUGUGUCUCUGCAGACUAUCUCAAUCUUCUUUGGAAACUGGCUGGCUGAAAAGAAGUACUAUUUAAUCAGAUUUGAUGAGAAGUUCUUAACUUCAGCUCUCUAGGAUAGAAUUUUUGCGGCAUUUGAAGAGCUUUUUCCAGAUUAUGUUUAAAAUUGAAACUAAGCCAUGUGGUGAAGAACUCAAGGGCGGGGAUAAAGUGCUGAUGACCUGUGUUGGCAUUGGUUUCUCCAACCUUAGCAAGACCCUCAAGUGAUAACCAUCACAAGAUAAGGCCCCAAUGCCUCCAGACAAAGCAGACGCUGCCAUGGACACCAAUGGGACCAAGUCCAAAUGGAUUAAUCCAGGACAGGAUAGCCACAUGCUUAAUUUUCUGUGAAGAAAUAUCAAUAUACAAAUAAAAGACAUCUCUGUAGCAUGUGGUUUCCAGCUGUUUCUCCAGUGGCGUUGCCAUUGCCCAGGAGGCCCAGUCACCGUGAGAGCUCCCUUGCCUUACCUGGAGGAAGAAUGUGCCUUCAGGCCACAGUCAUGCUGCUAGAACAGUCUCAUAGCUGCAGUUCAGCUGUGCUUCCUCAGCCUACUGUCAUAGGCUUCCUUGGCCCUCUGUCAUAUGGCUGUUUUCCAAACUUGUGGAGUCUGUUACUGUUCUUUCUGCAAGGACUUAUCUCCUUGAGCCUCAGUUUUUAUUGUAGGGAUUAAAUGAGAUAAUAUGAGUGGCAGCUCUUCAUGAGUCCUGCAGUGCUAUGCAAAUGUCAGAAAUUGGUAUAUUAGACUAUUUAUCUUUUGUCUUCUGAGUGGAUUGCUGUCAUGGACACAGACACUGAUCUUCAUCUGGUUAAUUGGAUGUAUAUAUGAGGGAUGGGUGACUGCAGGGGUCCAAGUAAAGUUAUUGGGAUGUUUUUUAUAUUCCAGGUGUGCUAUACAUUCCUGUUUUAUUUUCACAAUAGCUCUGUGAUGUAAAUGCUAUCUCCAUGAGAAAAUUCUUAAAGGGUGUUUCGUUCCUUUGAAAUGUAUAAUGUAAAGACAUUAAAUCUCCUCAUUUAAGGA